UUCGAGUUGGGUCUGUGAGGGAUGAAAUAGGAGUUGGCCAGAGGGAGAGAGAGGGACUCUAGGCCUCGAGAAGAGCACGUGCAGAGGUUCCGUGACACGAAAACGCCAGAACUGGCUGACUCUUGGGUGCUUGGAGACACUAUAUAAAUAAGGAACUCUGGCUGUGUGCAUUGGAGAAGAUAUUAACAGGGCUUGGCCUGGCUGUGAGGUGCAGAGAUGCUGUUUCUCUCAGGUAAGGAGUCAUAUUGGGGCAGGGUUUCCUAAUCCUUUUUUGACUCACAAAAUACACCUAGGAAAUACUAAAUAAAUUGUCAUUUUUGAGUAGUAUAUGAUAAAGAAGUGAUUGAUUUUGACUAAAAAUAUUCAUGUUCUACUUUUAGAAUAUGAAAGACUGUAUUACAAAGAUCACUUGAAAUAAAAUUUUAGAUAACAUAAUAUAUGGAGACAAAUUUCUGCUUUUUACAUUUAACUUGCUCUUUAAUGUAUCUCAAAUUAAUUAUGUAAGAGAAAUAUUAUUUGACCAAUAAAUAUAAAAAAGUGUUAUACCAUGA